AACGUAGGGGACAAGCGUUAUCCGGAUUUACUGGGCGUAAAGCGCCCGUAGGCGGCUUACUAAGUUGGAAGUGAAAGCUCCCGGCUUAACUGGGAGAGGCCGUUCAAAACUGAUAAGCUAGAGUGAGGCAGAGGAGCGCGGAAUUCCCGGUGUAGUGGUGGAAUGCGUAGAUAUCGGGAGGAACACCAGUGGCGAAAGCGGCGCUCUGGGCCUAAACUGACGCUGAGGGGCGAAAGCGUGGGGAGCGAACGGG
rnacentral:rRNA from 1 species